UACGUAGGGACCAAGCGUUGUUCGGAUUUACUGGGCGUAAAGGGCGCGUAGGCGGCGUGGUAAGUCACUUGUGAAAUCUCUGAGCUUAACUCAGAACGGCCAAGUGAUACUGCUGUGCUAGAGUGCAGAAGGGGCAAUCGGAAUUCUUGGUGUAGCGGUGAAAUGCGUAGAUAUCAAGAGGAACACCUGAGGUGAAGACGGGUUGCUGGGCUGACACUGACGCUGAUGCGCGAAAAGCCAGGGGAGCAAA
rnacentral:rRNA from 1 species